rnacentral:lncRNA from 1 species
GUGGAGAAGGUCUGAUGGUGACAGACAGGGGAAGAUCAGACCAACGCUCUGGCAAAGGCAAUGGAAAAUCCUAUAGGGGAAGAUCCAAGAGCAGACAGGGGCGUUCCAAAUCGCGUCCCAGAAACAACAAAAACACCAAGGGAUGUUUUGUAUGCGGCAAGGAGGGCCACUGGAAGCGUGAUUGCCCUGAUAAAAAGCCUUACAAAACGCCAGACUCAGCCAAUGUUGUGACAGAGUCCAAGGAACCUUUAAUUCUCACCGCAAGCACCCAAUACUCUAAGGACGAAUGGGUGAUGGACUCUGGCUGCUCGUUCCACAUCACACCAGACAAGAGUUUCCUGUUCGAUCUGGAAGAAUUCAAAGGUGGAAAAGUGUUAAUGGCAAAUAACACACAUAGCAACAUUCAAGGAAUUGGAAAGAUUAAAAUUCUAAAUCCAAAUGGAUCGACUGUGGUUCUAACAGGCGUCAGAUAUAUGCCUGGUAUGAGUAGAAAUUUAAUCUCUUAUGGAAUGUUGGAAACAUCAGGAUGCAGAUAUGAAGGCAAGGAUCUCAUGGUUAAUUUCUAUAAGGAUGAUCAACCGGUUAUCUCAGGGAAAUAUCAUCAGGGACUCUAUUAUCUACAGGGGACAGUCUCUCGAGGAGAGGCUAAUCUAUCUAAAGUUGAGAGGAAUAUGACUAAUGUUUGGCAUUCACGCCUCGGUCAUAUGAAUCUUAAUAACAUGUCUGAACUUGUCAAACGGGGAUUUAUCAUUGACAAGGAAGUUAAGACAUUGGAUUUCUGUGAACACUGCAUAAUUGGAAAAUCUCACAAGCAAAGUUUUCCUAAGGCUAAACAUGUGACUAAAGGGAUUCUAGAGUACAUUCACUCUGACCUUUGGGGUUCUCCAUCUACACCAGAUAGCCUUGCCGGAAACAAAUAUUUCGUGACAUUUAUUGAUGAUUUCUCUAAGAAGGUUUGGAUUUAUUUUCUUAAGACUAAGGAUGAGGUAUUCUCUAAGUUCAGAGAAUGGAAAGCUGAGGUGGAGACAAAGACAGAGAAGAAAAUCAAAUGCCUAAGGACAGAUAAUGGGUUGGAGUUCUGUAAUAAGCAGUUUGAUAAUUACUGCAAACAGGUGGGAAUUAAACGCCACAGAACCUGCAGCUAUACCCCGCAGCAGAAUGGGGUCUCAGAAAGGAUGAACAGAACCAUCAUGGAUAAAGUGAGAUGCAUGUUAGCCGAAUCUGGCCUAGACCAAAGCUUCUGGGCAGAAGCUGCAUCUACUGCUAUCCAUCUGAUUAACAGGUCACCUAACUCUACACUAGAAUUCAAAAUGCCCGAAGAAGUUUGGACAGGUGCUAAGCCCGAUCUGGGACAUCUCAGAACAUUCGGAUGCACUGCUUAUGUGCAUAUAACAGAGGAGAAAACGGGACCAAGAGCCAUAAAGGGAGUCUUCGUGGGAUAUCCUAUGGGCACUAAAGGCUACAGGGUCUGGAUAGAGGAGGAAGGCAGAUGCAGAACAAGCAGAAACGUUGUCUUCAACGAGGAUGAGCUGUACAAACACACUGUUGCUAAAGGAAAAGAAAGCACAGAAGUGACUAAGAAAGGAAAACGAGCUAAGAAGAAGGUUUCAUUCAGUGAUGAUUUGAUCAGAGGACCUUCUCCUUCUGUCGAAUCCAAAGACACAUCUGAUCAAGGUGGAGAAGAAUCAUCAUCAUCUAGCUCUAACAGCUCAGGUAACCAAGAACAAGAUCACGAAGCUGAUAGUGAAAGUGAUCACGAAGUUGAGAGUGAGAGUGGUGCCAUUGAAUCUCUAGACACCUAUGUUCUGGCACGAGAUAGGGAAAGGAGACAGAACGUGAGACCACCAUCCCGAUAUGAAGAUGGGAAUUUUGUAGCUUACGCUCUCAAUGUGAUUGAGGACUUGGAAGUUCAGGAGCCAAAAAGCUACGCAGAAGCUAUGAGAAGCCGAGAAAAGAAACUAUGGAAGCAGGCAGCAGAAGAAGAAAUGGAAUCUCAUAGAAAGAAUAGAACCUGGGACCUCAUUGACAGGCCUACAAAGGCAAAGCUUGUUGGAUGCAGAUGGCUAUUCAAGCUAAAGCCAGGAAUCCCAGGUGUUGAGGAUGAACGAUACAAAGGCAGACUAGUUGCUAAAGGAUAUUCUCAGACAGAAGGGAUUGACUACAAUGAAAUAUUUUCACCUGUUGUGAAACAUGUCUCUAUCAGACUUAUGCUCAGCAUUGUGGUGAAUUUGAAUCUGGAACUAGAACAGAUGGAUGUUAAAACUGCUUUCUUACAUGGAAGCCUAGAGGAAAGAAUCCUUAUGGAACAGCCAGAGGGGUUCAUAAAGCCAGGGACAGAGAACAAAGUAUGCCUGUUAAGGAAGUCUCUGUAUGGCUUGAAGCAAUCCCCAAGAAGAUGGAACCAUCGGUUCAACAACUUCAUGAGGGAUCAGCUAUUUGAACGUUGCAGUAAGGACCUAUGUGUCUACAUGAGGGAUGUUCAAACUAAUAAGGCGAUCUAUCUACUCCUAUAUGUUGACGACAUGUUGAUUGCCUCAGGAAAUAAAAAGGUGAUCAAAGAGCUGAAGGAAAAGCUGAGUGGAGAAUUUGAGAUGAAGGACAUGGGAAAGGCCUCAAGAAUCUUGGGCAUGGAUAUCACCAGAGAUCGAGAGAAGGGAACCCUGAUCCUAUCUCAGAGCAAAUACAUUGAGAAAGUCCUAAGGACGUUUGGAAUGCAGGACGCUAAGGCUGUGAUUACUCCUACUGCAUCACACUUCAAACUAAGAAGUCUCACAGAUGACGAGUUGAAAGUGGAGGCUUCUCAGAUGGAAAGAGUUCCCUAUGCCAGCGCCGUGGGGAGCCUAAUGUACGCCAUGGUAGGCUCCAGACCUGACUUAGGUUUUGCAGUAGGCUACGUCUGCAGAUUCAUGAGUAAACCAGGAAGGGAACACUGGAAAGCAGUUCAGUGGGUCCUAAGGUACUUAAAGGGGGCAGUGAAUUCGAAUUUAACAUUCAGAAAGAACUCUACACUCCUAGUGGAAGGAUACUCAGACUCAGAUUAUGCAACAGACAUGGAUAGAAGGCGUUCAGUAACUGGAUAUGCAUUCAAAUUUGGAGGUAAUACUAUCUCAUGGAAGUCAUGUCUACAAUCAGUGGUUGCCUUAUCUACUACAGAAGCAGAGUACAUGGCUAUGAAUGAAGCAGCAAAAGAAGCAAUGUGGCUAAAAGAAAUAUGCAAUGAACUAGGUUUCAAGCAACAGGGGAUCAAACUCUACUGCGAUUCUCAAAGUGCCCUAGCUCUAGCAAGAAAUCCAGUCAAUCACGAAAAGACAAAGCAUAUAGCUACCAAGUUCAACUUCAUUCGAGAUCUAGUGGAAUCAGGGGAUAUUGUCCUACACAAGAUUCAUACUAAUGUCAAUCCUGCAGACUUCCUAACAAAGACGGUACCUGGUCAGAAGUUCCAGCUUUGCUGUGAGCUUUUGAAUGUGAACUGAGAAGACUGGAGACGCUCCAGGUGAUUAAAGUUGUAUGAUCCCAUCCUCGCAUAACACAAAAAAAAAAAAAGGUCAGUGUGUGCGUAAAUAGGGAAUCAAAGGCAACUGGGAGUGUCACUAAAGAAGAAGGAAUCACCUGGAGGAUGAUUAGAACCGGGUAAGAAGACCUGGUUUAGGUGGAGUAACUUGGGCCACCAGACAUUCCCACAUAAGAGGACACAGACAAUGCUUCAUGAGUUGUCAGAAGCAAGCAUCGGGGUCCGGAAAGGUUUCAACAACCAAUCACCAACACCUACGAGACAGUGAACCUACGUCAAGCCACAAAAUACAGUUGUGAGUAACAAACCCGAGAACGUUACCUGAGCACAAGAGUAUUUGUUGAAAGGCUUACCAGCAGAACAUGAUAAUAUAAUAACAGUUCAGAGAGCUGAAUCAAAUGUCCGAUCAAGGAAGGGUUUCAAGAGCUCCAGGUGAUUAAAGUUGUAUGAUCCCAUCCUCGCAUAACACAGACAGAAAUUAAAAAAAAAAAAAAAAAGGGUCAGUGUGUGCGUAAAUAGAGAAUCAAAGGCAACUGGGAGUGUCACUAAAGAAGAAGGAAUCACCUGGAGGAUGAUUAGAACCGGGUAAGAAGACCUGGUUUAGGUGGAGUAACUUGGGCCACCAGACAUU